GGUACAUAUACUUACAAAAGAAACGAUACAACAACCAUAUAAUAAACAAAAAACAACAACAAUACGAAAACAUGGGUCGCAAAUUCGCAACAUUCUAC
rnacentral:ribozyme from 1 species